AACGAACGCUGGCGGCAUGCCUAACACAUGCAAGUCGAACGAGACCUUCGGGUCUAGUGGCGCACGGGUGCGUAACGCGUGGGAACCUGCCCUUAGGUUCGGAAUAACUCCCCGAAAGGGGUGCUAAUACCGGAUAAUGUCUUCGGACCAAAGAUUUAUCGCCUUUGGAUGGGCCCGCGUUGGAUUAGCUAGUUGGUAGGGUAAAAGCCUACCAAGGCGACGAUCAAUAGCUGGUCUGAGAGGAUGAUCAGCCACACUGGGACUGAGACACGGCCCAGACUCCUACGGGAGGCAGCAGUGGGGAAUAUUGGACAAUGGGCGAAAGCCUGAUCCAGCAAUGCCGCGUGGGUGAUGAAGGCCUUAGGGUUGUAAAGCUCUUUUACCCGGGAUGAUAAUGACAGUACCGGGAGAAUAAGCUCCGGCUAACUCCGUG
rnacentral:rRNA from 1 species